AGGGCUCCGGCCACCGCUACCGCCUAGGGCCCUUUAAACCCCUGCCAGACGCCCUGGCUGCUGCUGUUACCCCGGGGAGAGGGAAGGAGGCACUUGCCGGUACAGAGUGGGCUGGAGCUGGCUCUGACCUCCCCCAGCCCCGCCCCUUCCACCCAAGGCCCUGGCCCUUCCAGGAGCCAGAGCCAACCCCAGCCCAGCCCCGUACUGAUAAGUCCCAAGACUUGCUUUCACCCCACUUCCACCCUAACCCGGUGCCACUUUUGUAACAAACUGUUUGCAGGGCUUUACGCUGGUGCCUGUCCUCAAGCACCAUCCAGGUUGCUAUGGGUUGGAACCACUGAUACAAAAGAAUGUCUUAAAAGCUGCAGCACAAGACCUAUUGCCUAUGCCUUGUGGCCUUGCUUACCAUGGCUGUAGCAGCAAACUGAUUCUUGCAGUAGCCAGUGGUGGUUCUUACAUUGUGGAUUGCAUGGAAGUACAUUGAGGGAUAUUUCUUUUAUAAAAAGAUUUAAUCUUGCACCAGAAACAAUGUAUGCACUCUCAAUGCUACUCCUGUGGUUUGUAUUCUUUGCAGCUGAAACCUUGUCCACAGGUGCAUCCUCCAUACAGGGAUAGAGACUUUCCCAGAUUAGAAGGUGGAAAAAGACGACUUGGGAGAACAUGCUCAAGAGUUAAUGCACGCCUCAGAAUGACAAGAUGGAGCUCAGUGCAUAUUUUGAGGGAGCAAAUGGACAUGUUAAGGCGUUUGAGGUUCAAGAAAGGCAACUGGAUGCUAGAGUCCCACUGCAGCCUAUGCUGAACCUUCUGCCAUCAUCGCCAAGUUCCACAUCCUUCUCUCCUAGGAUUUUUGGGGGGGCGGGGAGGGGAAGUCGGGUUUCCAUUGCACUCAACUCCAGGCGAGGGUACAAGGACCAGAAGGCACCCAUUCCCAUGCCUUUGAUUGUUACUGCAGUGCAAUUGCAAGCAAGCUGACCUUGUUGUCCCUCCUCCCCCCCCAUGUUAUCAGCCCCUUAGCCUCAGGUUCUUACUUUUCUUUACAGUCAGUGUUUGUGAGCAUAAUAAAAAUUAAUGGAUUGAGGAGAAAA